rnacentral:lncRNA from 1 species
UGUGGGCCCUGCUGAGGCUACUGACAUUACAAUUUUGCAUCCCUAUGGGACAGACACUCCAGAAUGCAAUGCUGUAGUAGGAAGACCCUAGUCUUGUUAUGGAGCCCUUUGGGGUUGCACUGUUCCAGAUGUUUGGAGUAAGCACACCACACAGAAGACCUUCCGUACAGAUUAUUUGAUGGGAAGAUGAUUUACCUCACUGGUCUUUUAGAGACUAAAGAUGGAGAAGGAGGCCAGCUAGUUGUCUCAGGAAGAGACCAGAUGGCUGAAGGAGACUUACCAGUUAUGAGCAUUGGUAUUUUUGGCAGAAAAAUUCUAACAACAAGCAAGACUAGAGAAAGGAAAUCAAAUGUCAUUAUGUGGCAGCAAACAAUCAGUUACCCAUGUUUAGCCUUUGCUCAAUAGAAAGAAAAGAAACUGGAAGAACAGAUUACAAUAUUUGAUGGCUCUUUUUGGCAUAGGACAUUGUGCCUUUGACAAGGCAGCACCUCAAGCAGGAGAUUCCUAAUGAAACAGGAUAAAAGAACAAGCAAUGGCAGUUACAGAGUAGGUUAGAUAAAAUGUCUAUCAGGGAUGGUCUAGGCAGUAUUUGGUCCUGCCAUGCAGGCAGGGGACUGGACUCGAUGACCUCUCGAGGUCCCUUCCAGUCCUAGAAUCUAUGAAUCUAUGAAUCUAUACUGCCAAGACAUUAAGUUGUCUAUGUCACUUGCGGAACCACACAGCCCAUUGCAAAUAAUUGACUUUUGUGGAACUUGGCCUUGCAGCUUCACUAAUGAAUCGUAUAUUUUACAAAGGUCUGUGAAUGUAGGCGGUACAAAGCAUGGAGUUUUCCCAAGAAGUUACUCAAAAUUAAUCUUUAAACCCCCAUGAAUAUGUAUAUUUUAAAAGUUACCUUUCAUAUAAUUCUGUAUAAUGAUCAUUUUAUCAAACAUAAGCAGUAGCUGCACUUGUAUGAUGCCCAGAUUGAUUACAGACGGAACACUGUGUUUACAUUAUCUAGGCUGUCUUCACAUUUAUAUUAAUGCAACAUAAAAACAUUGCAGACAUUUUAAAUACAAGCAACCUAGGUAGCCUGAUGUCUUCCAGAUGAGACUGGAUAUUGCUAUGGCUAUAUGUCAAAUACUGAGUUGAUUAUAGCCAGGCUCCAAGUGUGCCAUCCACCAGGGCAUAGUGAGGCAGUGUCUUUUGUCUCUUGACGUUGCAAAUUUGUCAUCUUGGGUUUUUUAGAACCUUUCUGAAAGAACAUUAGUGAUCACGUAGUGAACCCAUCGCCCUUUCACUGAUAUUCUGACAAGAAUUCUUACACAUGUCAUUAUUACAUACAGCUUAAUCAUUUUUAAGUUCAUGCCACACUCCUUCCAUUUGCAGGUAGCAUAUUUAAUUAUGACUGAUUGCAUUUUUAUCUUAAUAAAGCUGCAGUUGAAGAGUAUUUUUCUACUUCU